rnacentral:rRNA from 1 species
UACGUAGGGUGCGAGCGUUGUCCGGAAUUAUUGGGCGUAAAGGGCUCGUAGGCGGUUUGUCGCGUCGGGAGUGAAAACCCAGGGCUUAACUGGGGAGGGUCACGCGAUACUGAUCGACUCGAAGGCAGGAGAGGGUAGUGGAAUUCCCGGUGUAGUGGUGAAAUGCGUAGAUAUCGGGAGGAACACCAGUGGCGAAGGCGACUACCUGGCCUGUUCUUGACGCUGAGGCGCGAAAGCUAGGGGAGCAAACGGG